UAGGAGGACACAUGCAUAUACCAGGGGCCUGGGAACCAAGGUCAAGCAAAAACACACAGAACCACACACACCUCAAACGCACACACCUCAUCGAGAGGAGGAUACAGCAUAAGACUGUAUCACACUGGGACUCUUGAUCUUCUUCUGAAGCAGACCUUCCACGGAGGCGAAGCUCUGGACGAACCAUCAGCGCUGAUUAGGGACUUAGACAUAUUCGAUCUCUCACGCUUUAUGACUCUGUAUAAUCGUUGCCACUUUACUUAAUAAAUCCAAGGUCCUCGUGCCGACAGACUUUAUUACCUCUCCGUCUCAUUUCAUCUGGUCCAGUAACUAGACAGACCGUUUUUCCCCUCAAUUUGGUGACCCCGACGUGAUCUUUCGUUGAAUUGAACCGCAACUGGGAAACGAGAGACGGAGAGCGGCACGACCUCGGGACCCCGGAGCACCGGACCGAUUCCUGCAGUCUCACCUCGCGAUCGCCCAACAAAAGGUAGGCAGAACCUGUUGAUAAAAUCCAAACUCUGCAUAGUUAUAUGGGAACCACAUUAGGAGGUGAGACUGUGAGAGCGGUUCGCUACGGGAUAUCUCGUGGGGACGAAUAGGACUGUAUCCCAGCAUUUCCCCAUAAACCCGAUUGACCCUGAACGCGUGACACAUUGAAUAUCGGCUCGUUGCAUGGUGAAAGAAUACCCUCGAGACCUUGGGCCUAUAAGAAGCGGGCAUAGUGAUACAAGACUACCGAUGGCCAAGUAAUGGAUGCCUGGGCCAUGAGUGGAACCCAGAGGAAAAAAGGUAAAAUGAGAAUAAGAUAAACUAGGCUCGUUGCAUGGUGAAGGAAUACCCUCGAGACCUAGGGCCUAUAAGAAUCGGGCAUAGUGAUACAAGACUACCGAUGGCCAAGUAAUGGAUGUGUAUUAAAUAAUUCUAUGUGGUAAAGAAGGUUAGAGUCCUUUAUCAGGGUUAGAGUCCCUUUGCAGAGGAAACGACAGUGUGUAUGCGCGUGAGAGAGAGAAAGGCUGUGAGCGACUCUGUGUGUGCGCGGGUACGCAAGAGGUGAUGUUUCUGUGUGUGCGUCUGCGGGAGACAGAAUGAGAGGUCCGUUGAUAUGUUUCUGUGUGCGUCUGCGAGGGACAGAAUGAGAAGUCUGUUGAUAUGUUUCUGUGUGCGUCUGCGGGAGACAGAAUGAGAGGAGCCGUGUGUGAAGUCAGUGUGAAUGUGCGUUUGUGUGAGAGGGAGCGAGAGAGAUAGCAAGGAGAGAUAGCAAGGAGAGCUAAAGUCGGAGGACGAUCGAGAGGGACCAUUUUCCCUCUAGACAGUUGGAGGUAGUGAUAGAGUGCGUGUUUUUCUAACAAUGAACGGUUGUUUCAGGACCACGAGAAGGGACUCUGUAUGGUUUUCAGGCCCAGAUUGUAAUCCCCUUUCCCAUAUGUGUAGUCCUCCCAUUUGAGGUCCCCGUCCACCAUAUUUGAAGUCCUCUACUCCACCUCAUGUUGUAGUUCCCCUCCCUAGAAUUGUAUGGAAGUUAGAACCUGUGAGGGUGUUUUGGUUCGGCCUGACGAGGCCUGUACCAAUUUCGGUGGUCAGCUUCGUAGUUUUGUGUAUAUAGAAAUUUGGACAGGGGGAGCAGUAUUAAAGUUAUUUAUAAUAAAGUGAAAAGUUAUUUGGGAAUGGAUGCGGCAAGAUGGGAUUGUGAAUGAAGGGACAGAAGGAUCGUUUUGUGUGUGAGAGAUAGUUAUUAGGUCUUGUUCCAUGAUGGGGAGUUGAGGAUGUUGCAUUCCAGGCUUAUCUGUUAACGGUCCUAGCUGCUGCUUGACCCUAAGGGGAGUGAGGAAGGGUGAGAGAGAGAGAACACAUUUCCCCCCCAUUUGUCGACCUACACCAUUCAGGCAGUACAGAGAGACACACUAACACACAGUACAGAGAAAGGAAAUAGAGUGUGUUCAACUGAAAGCGUGUGGUGGCCAUACGCCAUAAAAUACCACAUAUCCAAGGAAUGCAGGUAGAGCUCUGUUGAGUUUUCAGGCUUUGAUAAAUUUGUAGUUCCCUGUCUGCCAUGUUUGAAGUUCUUUGUAGUCUCUGUCCAUAGGUUUCACCUGAACAACCCCUCUGCUGGCCGAGAAAAGGAACUACCCAUGGUUUCUCUCACACCCAGCCCCCAGUGCACGCUCGCUUUCAAGGCGUUAUGGCCGCACCCAACGUGGGAGGGAGACACCCUUAUCUGUUGUCUUGCACCAAACAGCACCCCGUACUGAGGAGGGAGAGAGAGCGUGUUCUCCUGAAGGAGGGAGAGAAUCACAGGGAGACACGCAGGGGAUAUUCACAUUAUGGCUAAUUUGUUUUUCUUUAAGUUUAGUUUUAGUUUUGUUUUUUAUUCAGGAUGAUGAACAUCCUGACACAGUUAUCAUUCAGGAUGAAGAACAUCAAAGUUCAUGAGGAGGUUAUAAGGACAAUAACGUUGAUACUUUACUAGGACAACAGUGAUGAUAAUCUAAUGCAAUUGGACUAAAGAAGGUGUUGCUAUUAACUAAGUGAUUCAUAUUAUUUUCACACAGGAAAGAAUAAUUGAAUAAAUAUGGAUAUGAUUAAAGAAGGAGAAUAAUAAUAAAAUAAAGUAAUCUU